rnacentral:lncRNA from 1 species
ACCUGCAAUUAAAAUGUCCAAGGAAGGGCAGCGCAGUCUUAAACUGUCUUGAGAUAAAACCACAUUUUAUUGGAUUAACUCUUCCGCACACACACUGAACAAUUUGCAUUAUUGCAUCACAAACAAGUAUUUCCUGCAGUUCUAUUGUCCCAUCCUCAUCAGAAUUGUGUCUGUUUCUAAAGCAGUUUUCACACUGGCCACUCAAUACUCACUUGGUCCUCUAGCAAAAAUCAUUCCCAGAGACAUGUGAAUCAAGCCCUUCUGAAUGGGAAAGGAGGAAUACCUUUAGCCACAAAUACUCUAAAGGGUUUGUUUGUUUUUUUUCUCUUGGAUAAUGAAUCAUAGGAGAGCAUAAAUUCUUCUAAUAAUUUUCCUUCUCCUAUAAAUGCAUCAUACUAUUAAGGCAGCUGGAGAGUGAAGAUGAGAACAGCCCUAUGAAUUAUUUCUGAAAUUAAGCAAACUUCAAGGUAGAAAAAGACCAAAGUGAAAUAGGUUUUCCAAUCCAUACUAAUGCGCUGAUCUCGAGCCAUAAUAUUUACUGUCACUAAUCCAUGCAAUAUUUGCCAUAAAGACAUGCAAUGGUUGUAUCACUAAUCAUAACUGUGGGAGUAUGUAUUUGCUCCUUUUAGCUUAAAAGUGGAUCUGACCAUGAAGGUUGGAACAUCCAGGCAUUUGAAAAUGUGGGACAUACAAACCUCACAACAGAUGACAUGAUCUGAUGCAUCACCAAGACAUCAAGGAAAAUUAAGCUUAGGAUGAGUCUCAAGCUCUGUGCAAUCAGUCACCAUUCCUGCAUACAGGCAGACUGUGAAGAAGCUGUUUCUAGGACUCUGCUGCUUGACAAGUCCCUAAAAUGCAUUAUGGAAUUGCAAGCUAAAGCCAAGGCAUACCCAUUCAACAGUGACUCACUGUGCAGCCUCGGCAAGUGUCUGUCUCAGUUCAGGAAGAGGUGAAUGGGGCAGUGAUAGCUCUCAGUCUCAUAAAACACUUCAAGAACUUCCUGUGAAAAGGAGUAGCUCUGUUGCUACAAUCUCUUGCUUGCCUCCUUCCUAGCCCAGUAACAUAGAAAGAGCAAAGGACAAAAGCCCUGCAGAAAACAAACUCUUCCUGCUCAGCAUCUAUUUAUAUCAGAUGUUGGAACCCCCACCCAUCCCUUCCUGACAGAUCUGGUAAGUGUAUCUCCUCCAUGAGACCAAUAAUGCACCACCAUGGGGGAGUGGGAGGCAGGGUGGGGACUGACAGUAGAGUAAGUACACUGAG